rnacentral:rRNA from 1 species
UUAUCUCUGUAGAGUCUGCAUAUCAAUAAGCGGAGGAAAAGACUUCCGGUUCCGUACUGCUCUGGUACAGGGAGCUUGCAAAACUCCGUAAAGAGCUUCCUGCUUUCACGGAGGGUGACUUUGCCAUGCUCCUUCCGGAGGAUGAAAACAUCUUUGCUUUCAGCAGAACUGCAGAAAGACAGAAAGCGGUCAUUCUUGUCAACUUUACGGACAGUGAACAGAGGUAUGAUCCGGAGCUCAUUCAGGGCAUGAAGCCAGCAGCCAGCAGCGCCGAAGGGACGGAAGCCGGUAUACUCAGACCGUAUCAGGCGGUCAUUUAUACCGUUGCUCUCCGUCCGCAAUGAUCAGGAAAUCUCAUAAGUGAUGAUUCGGAACGCAAGAGUAACCUCAAGCUGAGAGAUCUUAGUCAGCUUGUUCUGAUCGGCAGAACCGGUUUUAUAAUAAUAAGGGGUCAUAAGGGAAAGAUUGGAAAUAUCCUCAGUACUCUGAAGAGACACGGAAUAGCUUACGUCUUCUUUCCGUACCGCGAUGAAUCCGUCCUCUUCAUAAUCCGGAACGUCGUUCAGAUAGACCUUGUCAUAGACAAGCUGCUUCAGCUCCAGCAGAUGAUUUUCCAAAGGUACUGCCCGGAUGAUCUUUCCGUCGGACUUCAGAACACGCCGGAACUCGUCUCCGAAAAAAGGCGCAAAGAUAUUGAUAAGUACAUCUGCACAGCUGUCAGGGACAGGAAGCUUUGCCGUACUCGCAACUAUGGGCAGGAGAUCGGCGGAGAAGGGAAUUCUCCUGACUCUGGAGGCGCAGGCAUUCAUUGCGUCCUUGGAAAUAUCCGCCGCGAGAACAGAAGGGGACACGGAGCAUUCAUGAAGACGGCGGAUCAGAUCUGCGGUAUAUUUCCCUUCUCCGCAUCCGGCAUCGAUCACUGCGAAUUCGGAAUUGAACUUUUUAUCGUUUUCCGGUUUCACGGUACAGCGUAUUACAGCAUUGCAAACUGCUUCCGAAAAACGGUCAUAGUAACCGCGUUCAAGAAAAGCUGUUCGUGCGUUCACCAUCAUUCGGUCAUCUCCGUGACGGCCUUUUGAACUGUUCAAAAGAAGGUUGGCAUAUCCCUUGCGGGAUAUGUCGAAGCUGUGACCGAGAGAACAGCAAUAACAUCCGUCCUGCUUCCCGAGAAUUCCGGAGCAAACAGGACAAAGGAGAGGAAAUCUACAUUCGGGCAUUUUUUCAUCCUUACUGAUCAUCGUAUUCUUUUAUUGGCAUAUCACUGAUAAGCUGAUGAUAUCACCCAGAGAAUAAAAUGGGAUAUCAUCAGCUCAAUUCUUUGUACUGGAGAGGCUGUUAUGGCGAUAACUUAUCGUUCUGCAAAUGAGUAUUUUUCAGAACUGUUUGGCUGCAAGGUUUAUAAGCUUGCGCUGGACGGAGGCUUCACCUGUCCGAAUCGGGACGGAACGUUGGGAUCGCGCGGCUGCAGUUUCUGUCUGGCGGGAAGCGGAGAUUUUGCCGUUCCUGUCGGUUCGGACGUUUCGGGGGCGAUCGAUACUGCGAAACAUCUCGUCGCCGGGAAGGGCGGACAAAAAUACAUCGCAUAUUUUCAAAGCUUUACGAAUACCUACGCUUAGGAUGUUGACGAUCAGCUGAGCGCG